rnacentral:rRNA from 1 species
GACGAACGCUGGCGGCGUGCUUAACACAUGCAAGUCGAACGGAAAGGCCCUGCUUUUGUGGGGUGCUCGAGUGGCGAACGGGUGAGUAACACGUGAGUAACCUGCCCUUGACUUUGGGAUAACUUCAGGAAACUGGGGCUAAUACCGGAUAGGAGCUCCUGCUGCAUGGUGGGGGUUGGAAAGUUUCGGCGGUUGGGGAUGGACUCGCGGUUUACCAGUUGGUUGGUGGGGUAGUGGCUUACCAAGGCUUUGACGGGUAGCCGGCCUGAGAGGGUGACCGGCCACAUUGGGACUGAGAUACGGCCCAGACUCCUACGGGAGGCAGCAGUGGGGAAUAUUGCACAAUGGGCGGAAGCCUGAUGCAGCAACGCCGCGUGCGGGAUGACGGCCUUCGGGUUGUAAACCGCUUUCGCCUGUGACGAAGCGUGAGUGACGGUAAUGGGUAAAGAAGCACCGGCUAACUACGUG